CAUACUUCAACCUGUGAUAGCUAGUUACAGCCUAUUAGGGGAAUGCUGAAGGUUGCUGACUUGCUGAAACAGGUGAGAUCCACCCUGAGUAUAAGGGAUGUGAAAGUAGCCAUAGGGAAGAGGAAGUUUGUCUCUGGAACAACUACUGUGGGAAAAAGCCUGUUGAGAGCAUCUUCUGGAAAUUUGACACUUGGAGCAGUACACAGUCAGUUAAAGAGAGAGAGAAUAAUUACAUGAAGAUAAAAGUUUAUUGUGCAUACUACAAAAGGAUUCUACAAGUAAUUGCUGGUGGCAUAUAGACUAAGUCACAGAUGUUAAAACAAAAGAUAAGACAAGUACACUGAAUAUACAUUUUGAGUUUACAUCCAACAAAGGUUGUCAGCUGUUCCUUCCUUGCAGCUGCAUAAAGGUCUUGCUGUCCUCUCCUAACAGGAACAACUAUCUGUUGAGAGACUAAAAUGCAACAAUGCUCUUGUUAAUUAUUUCAUUGUUUAAUUGUGCUUAACAUCAAGCAUAUCAAUCAGAAAAUAUAUGAUACGAACUGUAUAUUUUUACCAAGUUAAGUUUUCAUGAGGCUGGCAAAAUUCUUGUGAAAGGGCUAUUUGAAAAACUAGUUUGACUGUUGCCCGUCUGUCAUAUCAACCUAUCAGGUGUAGAAUAGUGUAGAAUCAUAGAAUCGCUAAGGGUGGAAAAGACCAACCAUUCACCUGCCAUCAAUAUUUCCUCACAAACCAUGUCCCUUACUAGAACAUCUACAUGAUUCUUGAACACCACCAGGGAUGGUGACUGAACUGCCUCCCUGGACAGCUCACUCCAGUGCCUACCACUCCUUCAGGGAAUAAAUUUUUGCUAACAUCCA
rnacentral:lncRNA from 1 species